GUCGCGCCGCUGCUGGUUGCUGUCCCUGGACCCCUACCAUGGAGGAGACCAUCAAAGAUCCCCCCACAUCAGCUGUCUUGCUGGAUCACUGUCAUUUCUCUCAGGUCAUCUUUAACAGUGUGGAGAAGUUCUACAUCCCUGGAGGGGACGUCACAUGUCAUUAUACCUUCACCCAGCAUUUCAUCCCUCGUCGAAAGGAUUGGAUUGGCAUCUUUAGAGUGGGGUGGAAGACAACCCGUGAGUAUUACACCUUCAUGUGGGUUACUUUGCCCAUUGACCUAAACAACAAAUCAGCUAAACAGCAGGAAGUCCAAUUCAAAGCUUACUACCUGCCCAAGGAUGAUGAGUAUUACCAGUUCUGCUAUGUGGAUGAGGAUGGUGUGGUCCGGGGAGCAAGUAUUCCUUUCCAAUUCCGUCCAGAAAAUGAGGAAGACAUCCUGGUUGUUACCACUCAGAGGUGGAAGAGAUUGAGCAGCACAACAAGGAGCUUUGCAAAGAAAACCAGGAGCUGAAGGACAGCUGUAUCAGCCUCCAGAAGCAGAACUCAGACAUGCAGGCUGAGCUCCAAAAGAAGCAGGAGGAGCUAGAAACCCUACAGAGCAUCAAUAAGAAGUUGGAACUGAAAGUGAAAGAACAGAAGGACUAUUGGGAGACAGAGCUGCUUCAACUGAAAGAACAAAACCAGAAGAUGUCCUCAGAAAAUGAGAAGAUGGGAAUCAGAGUGGAUCAGCUUCAGGCCCAGCUGUCAACUCAAGAGAAAGAAAUGGAGAAGCUUGUUCAGGGAGAUCAAGAUAAGACAGAGCAGUUAGAGCAGCUG
rnacentral:lncRNA from 1 species